rnacentral:tRNA from 2 species
GCGCCUGUAGCUCAACUGGAUAGAGCAUUGGUCUACGGAACCAAAGGUUGAGGGUUCGAAUCCUUCCGGGCGCG